rnacentral:rRNA from 1 species
GAGUUUGAUCCUGGCUCAGAUUGAACGCUGGCGGCAUGCCUUACACAUGCAAGUCGAACGGUAACAGGUCCUCGGAUGCUGACGAGUGGCGAACGGGUGAGUAAUACAUCGGAACGUGCCCGAUCGUGGGGGAUAACGGAGCGAAAGCUUUGCUAAUACCGCAUACGAUCUACGGAUGAAAGCAGGGGACCGCAAGGCCUUGCGCGGACGGAGCGGCCGAUGGCAGAUUAGGUAGUUGGUGGGAUAAAAGCUUACCAAGCCGACGAUCUGUAGCUGGUCUGAGAGGACGACCAGCCACACUGGGACUGAGACACGGCCCAGACUCCUACGGGAGGCAGCAGUGGGGAAUUUUGGACAAUGGGCGAAAGCCUGAUCCAGCCAUGCCGCGUGCAGGAUGAAGGCC